GCUAAACGCGAAGAACCUUACCUGGCCUUGACAUGCCCGGAAUUCUGCAGAGAUGCGGAAGUGCCUUCGGGAAUCGGAACACAGGUGCUGCAUGACUGUCGUCAGCUCGUGUCGUGAGAUGUUGGGUUAAGUCCCGCAACGAGCGCAACCCUUGUCCUUAGUUGCCAGCGAGUAAUGUCGGGAACUCUAAGGAGACUGCCGGUGACAAGCCGGAGGAAGGUGGGGAUGACGUCAAGUCCUCAUGGCCCUUACGGCCAGGGCUACACACGUACUACAAUGGUCGGUACAGAGGGUUGCCAAACCGCAAGGUGGAGCCAAUCCCAGAAAGCCGAUCCCAGUCCGGAUCGGAGUCUGCAACUCGACUCCGUGAAGUCGGAAUCGCUAGUAAUCGCGGAUCAGCUAUGCCGCGGUGAAUACGUUCCCGGGUCUUGUACACACCG
rnacentral:rRNA from 1 species